GUCUCUCUGAGGAGCAGGUCUGUCUGUCUCUCUGAGGAGCAGGUCUGUCUCUCAGGAGCAGGUCUGUCUCUGAGGAGCAGGUCUGUCUGUCUCUCUGAGGAGCAGGUCUGUCUCUCAGGAGCAGGUCUGUCUCUCAGGAGCAGGUCUGUGGAGGUGUAUAGAGCCCUGGUAGCUAGUGCUAACCCUGUUAGGAGCAGACAGACAGCCAGCAGCUCUGCCUCCGAGGGCCGGCGGAGGCAGCGUGUCGAGGGCGCCGGGUCGGGGGCCAGUCCCAGGUGGUUCCUGGGACUCCUGGGGAGGUUUCGCUUAUGAAUUCUUUAUUUUAGCCUGAAAUCCCCUGCAAAAAUCCAGCUCCUCCAAACAAUAAUGAAACGUUUCAUGAACACCUCAGUUGGCCAUUUGGCCCAGAAGGAAGAAGGCUUACAGAGCUUCAGGGUCCUUCAGAGGAGAGACGCUGGGCCUCCUCUUGACCCAGGGGGCUGUGUGUAGCGCGCAGAACCAGGAGGAAACUGCUCUCACAUGGAUCCUUCAACAUUACUCGCUCCGUCUCUCUCUUCCUCUCUGUUCUCUGCUCUCUUCUCUCAGUCUCUCAUACUGUCUCUGUCUAUCAUA
ensembl:lncRNA